CUAGUAACAUGAUUUUUUCUUAAUAUAAUUGAAAAUAUAAUCAUGAACCUAUUUUUGAGUAUUAUUUAUUUGGACUCUUGGAUUUGAUUCAAUUUUUUCAAAUAGAAUAAAUUUCAACAAAACAUCGGUUUGUGUCAUUAAUAUGAACAAUCGAGCAAAUAAACAAUGACAACAUAACAAACCUAUUCGAUGCUGAUUGGAGUUACCAAAGGAUAUAUUGCGCAUUACAUUGGAUUCAUCAAUAUAGCGUUGAAUGGCACGUAUGUGAUUUUUCUGUAUACUCCAAGCUAUGAAUCAUACAACAAUGGUUAAAGCCGGGUUCAAUAAAACCUCUAACUGACUAGGUUGUAAACAAGCACCAUUAUCUUGGAAAUAUAAACUAACCGCCUGUUGAGGGCUGAUAUAGCGGGAUGGGUAAAUUGAUCGACAUUCACGAAACUCGACCCCGCACAUAAUGUCAGAAUAUUUGGCUGUUGUGGGGAUAAAACCUCUAUAAUCAGACCGAUAACGAAACACCGGUGCCAUAUUACAUAAAGCAAGCCAUGUAUACGAAGCAUAAUGUAAUGCAUGUAGGAGAUAACAACCCGUCACCUUCAUGUUUAAUCAUCUUGACCGUUACCAACAGCAGACGAUUGCCAACCUCAACGACACAAAACAAGAGCGCAUAGACAUGCCACGUUUUUCCUUUUUAUUAGCCUGAAGUACUUUGUACAAUAAACACGUGAAUUAAACCUUUUGUUAUAUCGAAUGUGUUUGACUUGUUUCUCGGUUCCUUUUUCGGUCUAUUUGUCCGCUUUCGCGUACCGUGGUUCUGCCCACAGGUUAUGGGCCCA